CAAAAGAUAAGCUAAUUCUAAGCUAAUGGGUUCAUACCCCGUUUAUGAGAGCAUAAACCUCUCUCUUUUUA
rnacentral:tRNA from 3 species